GGGCUCUUGGGCAGGCCCCAAAACGACAGUUUCGUCUGGUACUCCCCCGCGUGCACGUGAUUUCUUCCCCGCUCGCUCCCUCCCGUCCACUCGCGCAUCACUUUUCCCCAUCAGCCGCCGCUAGGGUUUGCAGCCCGCCGCCAAUCCGCCGCUCGACUUUCUUGUGCGGGUGUCCGGCGACUCCCAGGAAGGUGCGACCUAUGACCCCUGCAAAUCGCCUUGCGAGGCGCGACCCUUGGUGCCACGCGCGUCCAGCAAUUCCCACGGCUUGGUGCGACCUCUGGCUCGGCGACUCUCCCAUCGAAGAUGGUGUUUACCGAUGACGAAGAUGAUUUUCUUGAGCAAUGGUGGGAGAAAGAAGAAUCGGAUGAUGAUGAUUUGGUUGCGCUGCUGCUAAUUCUUGCUGAAGAUGAAGAAAGGAGUCAUAAGAAGCGUCGUCCUGGUUCAAUGCCUGGUCGUCAAACGGUGCCAAGAGACAUGCAUGCUGGUAACUUGCGCAUUGUUGCAGAUUAUUUUGCGGACCCACCAAUUUACAAUGAUAAAUUCUUUCGGAGGAGAUUUAGAAUGUCUAAACCAUUGUUUCUGAGAAUUGUCCAAGGAGUCGAGGCACGCCAAAUGCAGUAGGUUUGCUUGGAGCAACUGCCCUACAGAAAGUGGUUGGAGCUUUUAGGAUGUUAGCUUAUGAUGUUCCUGCAGAUUCCAUGGAUGAGGUUGUGAGAAUUGCAGAGAGCACUAUGAUUGAGGCCUUCAAACACUUUGUUCAAGCAGUGGUUGAUGUUUUCGGUGAGCAAUACUUGAGGCCACCCAUUUGUAUUUUCCAUUUAUUAUUUUAAGCAUGGUGCUUUAUUGAUAUGGUUUAAAUAAAUUAUUAUAUAAUAUAAUGUUCUCAAA